GACAGAGGGGGCAAGCGUUGCUCGGAAUUACUGGGCGUAAAGGGCGCGUAGGCGGCCCGGUAAGUCCGCUGUGAAAGUCAAAGGCUCAACCUUUGAAUGCCGGUGGAUACUGUCGGGCUAGAGUCCGGAAGAGGCGAGUGGAAUUCCUGGUGUAGCGGUGGAAUGCGCAGAUAUCAGGAGGAACACCAAUAGCGAAGGCAGCUCGCUGGGACGGUACUGACGCUAAGGCGCGAAAGCGUGGGGAGCGAACAGG
rnacentral:rRNA from 1 species